rnacentral:rRNA from 1 species
UACGUAGGGGGCAAGCGUUGUCCGGAAUCAUUGGGCGUAAAGAGCGUGUAGGCGGCUCGGUAAGUCCGCUGUGAAAGUCCAGGGCUCAACCCUGGAAUGCCGGUGGAAACUGUCGAGCUAGAGUCCGGAAGAGGCGAGUGGAAUUCCUGGUGUAGCGGUGAAAUGCGCAGAUAUCAGGAGGAACACCAAAGGCGAAGGCAGUGUCCUGGGGAGUACCUGACGCUCAGGUGCGAAAGCCAGGGGAGCGAACGGG